CUCUGACCCCCUCCCGACCGAGGAGCGCGGCGCUGGGCGUAGCAGCCGAGCCCGGGCGCGCGGGAACGAGGAAGUGCCGGGCUGGGAACACACCUCGGCUGGAACGUCCCGCUGGGCCGGAAGGUGGUCGUCUAGAAAGGGAUUUCACGUCCACCGGCAGGUUUGGGAGCGCCCCACAGGCUGAGAAACCUCACCUAGGGAACCCUCAGAACCCCGAGGCCUCUCCAGCCUCUCCCAUACUCCAGUGGCACCUGGUGCGCUGAAGCCUUUCAUCCACCGAUUUAGCUAAAAUUGAUCCAGGAGUGUCGGUCGGAGCAGGACUUUGGAAGUCAUUUCGGCCUGCGCUGUUCAGGCUUCACCAAAGAAGCCCCACGGGUUUGAGGGGGUAAAUUCCAAAGCACCUUGCAAUGGAUCCAGAUUUGGGGGGAGGUGAUAGGGGGAGAAUUGUUUGUUUUAUCAUUGCUUAAUAACGUGUGACUUGGGGGGGGGGGGGUUUCAUCUCUCUGUGCCCCAGUUUUUUAAUCCACAAAAUGGGAAGAAUAAGACAUCUGAUUGGGUAAUUAUGAGGAUCAUAUAAAGAGAUUAACACAGCACUCACCACACAAUAAUUGCCUGAGAAGUGUCAUCAAUUAUUAGCUACUGAAAUGAAAAUACACGUAAAUUUUGCAUUCUGAGCAAUGGUAUAAAACGCCUUGGGGAAAAAGAGUGACCUUGAAUAAACUUGACACCCCAGAAGGACAACCCAGUGCUCUCAGGUGCACACACAGGCUGUGAACGUGCCGCAGGCACCCCAGUUUGACAAGCAAGGAGAAAUCAAACCCCCUUAGAGAUGAGAAAACUAUGGCACAGAAAGCGGUGCCUUGUCCAAGGAGGCCCCUGGUUAGUAAUAAAAAGCCAUGUCCCCUCCUCUGCCCCACACAUUCCCACCACGCCCAUGCCAUCUAGUUUUGUUAUAGUAAGUCAGGCAGUUAGAGAGUGUAAAGUGCACUUGUGGCCCUAACAGUGCCAACUCCCUCACCACCCACGCCAUCACCCCCUCUCCCCUUUGCCACACUGCCAGGCCUCUCCCACUUGCCCUUCUGUCUUGUGAGUGUCUCUGUGUAUUUACGAAGGGUCCAGUGUGGCAGUCUCAGUGCUUUCUGAGGGGAGGGGUGCGUUUGUGGGUCUGCUUAUUACUGUGUCAUAUGGGUCUGAGUUGACAAUGUGACCUCUGACCUGAGGGGCAGUUUGCAUGUCAGUGGGAGAUGUUCCACUUGAAGCUUGACUAACUCCAAGUUGUAAAAUAACCAGUUUGCUUCCUGACACAGUUGAAAAGUGGCAAGAGAUUGAAAUUAAGGGAACUCAGAUGGAAAGGAGCGUUGCCUGACUGGGGUCAGAGGACAAUCGUUUUGUGUGAGGGAAAGGAAAGCUGUGUGUGUGAGAGGAGAGAGAGAGAGAGAGAGAAAGAGAGAGAGCGAAUUCCAUUAUCCCAGGCUGAAGUGACAUGGGGACAGAAAGGUUUCCCCAGAGUGGAUAACCAGGGUGAGGUCUCUGAGCUAGGACUUCUCCAUCACUACCCUCCAGGGUUCUCCCAAUGGUAAAAGGGUGAGUGCAGAGGUUCCCAAGCUUUCUCCUUUCCAUCGCCUUCAUGGCACCCCUAGGCCAAAAAAAUAACCAACAGCUCCAUUUGUUAGGCAGCUGGUUCCAAAUGACUUAACAAGACUUUAUGUCCUAACAACUUAGUAGGCAUCAGGAUAAACAAUAAAUAUGAAUGGAAAAAUAACAUUUUUGUUUCAUUCUUAGAUAAUCACAGUGACUUCCUAAUGGGAUGGUGCACCUGUUGAGCUCUACAAAACUGGGAAUGAGAUUGGGCACUGCCACCCACAUUUCCUGCUCCACAGUGAUUUUCAUGUAUCUGCGUUUAAUCACAAUGAACCCUGAGCACCCAGCUUUAUGAGGAUUAACAACAACAACAACAGCCCCUGCUUCCCUGAAGGGGUUUUAGGAACCAAUAAUCUACGGAGGGAUCAACCCCUACCUCUGAGGUAACUUUGGGGAGAAGAAACAAUGAGGACCAGGAGGACUAGCAAGAUGUGGAGACAGAGCAUAGAGAUGACAUGGACUUUACCUGAGGCUCUAGGAACUGAGAUCUGAAACCAGGCCACCUGCUCCUGGCCCAAGUGCUUAAUCCCCAUGGUGAACCUGUUGACUCAGAAUCUUAAGAAAACUGAGGCCUGGACAGGAGGCAGGGCUCAAGCAGUGGUCCCUACAGCUUGGCUGCUCUUGGGUCCCACUCAUUUUCUUAGUGGCUCUAGUCUUUCUGGCCAAACUGGGAAUUUGCAGGAGCAUUUCCAAUGCAUGUCUUUCCUGCUUUACUUGCUCAGAAUUAACUCCUUUUGCCUGUCGCCAAGAUGUCUACUCGAUGGAAGACCCAUUCUCCCCAAACCCUGUUGUUUUAAAGAUGGUCUUAUUUAAAUGGCAGCCAGAUUGCCUCCAAGACAGGAGCUUAAACUCAUAAAAGGGAUCUUAGCGAUCACUUUGUUCCAUUUUUCCAAAGACAGAUGCAAUCAAAGCCUUUGAAUAUAAAUUUUUAAACUCAGAAUGGAAAUCAGUAUAGGGAUGGUCCAUCUCUAUGUCAGGGGCGGCUUUUCUCUGUGGCCUCCUCUUGUCCAGGAGUCACACUGACCAGCCUAAUACAAGAAGCAGUCCACUCAACACAUGGCAAUAGAGCUUGCACCACACGCCAGACACCAGCCCCAGCCCUAGAUACGCAAAGACAGGAGGCUAGUGACGCCAAGCACAAGCCCAAUGAGCCUUCUUCAGUCCAAGAUGUGGCUUCAUCGAAAUCCUGCCUGUCCCGGGGAGACCACGGGCGAAGGUCUUACACAGUGUGUUGCAUGAUUCCUCUUGCAUCACUUUUUUUCUACUUUAUUGGUUCUAUGUUUCUGAUUACAAAACAGGAAGAUUUGGAAAAUGCAAGAAAUAACUCAGAGAAAAUAAACAUAAUCAUUAUUCUUCCAUCAGA